rnacentral:rRNA from 1 species
GACGAACGCUGGCGGCGUGCCUAAUACAUGCAAGUCGAACGCAGUUGCGAACGGGUGAGUAACGCGUAGGUACCUGCCUCAUAGUGGGGGAUAACUAUUGGUAACGAUAGCUAACACCGCAUAUUUUGAGAUUGACCUGCGUUGUAUUCGCUAGUUGGUGAGGUAAAUGCUCAACAAGGCGACGAUACAUGCCCGACCUGAGAGGGGGAUCGGCCACACUGGGACUGGGAAACGGGCCAGACUCCUUCGGGGGGCAGCAGUAAGGGAACUUCGGAAAUGGACCGAAAUCUGACCCAGCAAAGCCGCCGGAGUGAAGGAAGGUUUCGGAUCGUAAAGAUCUGUUUGUUGGGGAGCGGUAACUAACCAGAAAGCGACGGCUAACUACGUGCCAGCAGCCGCGGUAAUAC